UUUCCGUAGGUGAACCUGCGGAAGGAUCAUUAGUGAGUUGUCAUGGGGUUCGAUGCUGGCAGCCAGUUUUUGGAUGCAUGUGCUUGCCCUAACAAUCAUCUUCUUCCAAACACCUGUGCACAUUUUUGAGGGAGUCUUGAGUUGGUUGCCGCUCUUGGGUGAUUUUCUCACAUUCCCUUAAAUCAUUAUACGCUAUUAACAAUGUUGAACGUGCUCUGUGCCGCAAGGCCAUUAAUAUAAUACAACUUUUAACAACGGAUCUCUUGGCUCUC
rnacentral:misc_RNA from 1 species